rnacentral:rRNA from 1 species
UACGGGGGGGGGCAAGCGUUGUUCGGAAUUACUGGGCGUAAAGGGCUCGUAGGUGGCCAACUAAGUCGGACGUGAAAUCCCUCGGCUUAACCGGGGGAACUGCGUCCGAUACUGGUUGGCUUGAGUUUGGGAGAGGGAUGCGGAAUUCCAGGUGUAGCGGUGAAAUGCGUAGAUAUCGGGAGGAACACCAGUGGCGAAGGCGACUACCUGGCCUGUUCUUGACGCUGAGGCGCGAAAGCUAGGGGAGCAACGGG